rnacentral:lncRNA from 1 species
GUUUGUAUGUUAUGUCUGUCAGUUCACCAUGUUCCUCGAUGUGUGAAUCCCUAGUUUUUUUUCCCCCUGUGCUUUUUGUUUGAUUUUGCCUUUGGGAUUUCUCAGUUGGACCUCUGAAAUACGUUUUUGUUGCUUUUCAUUUAGUUCUUUUCAAUAAAUCUUUUUUUUUUUAGUCUGCAUUUUUGAGUCCUUUUUCCAUUUUUUAACCCCGCGUUGUGACAAGAUUUUUUCAUCAUUCAAGGACAGAUGACAGAUGAUCCCCAGUUUGAUUUUGUGCAGCUAAGCAUCUCUUCAUCACGUCCCUGCUUUCUAAGCUGAACUCUGAAGUGAGACUCUUGAAUGCAGCCGCGUUGAGUUUCUUUAAAUGGAGGGGAGCUCCUGGAGACGCUCACACAUCAAAAGUAAUUAAUUCGUCUAAAGUUGAUAAUCACAGCCUUAAUUAUACUUGUUUACAUCUUCAGAGGUAAAUCAGAAGGUCCUCUGCGUAUUCAUGAGUCCUUGAUUAUAAAUACGGUUCAGCAGAAGAGGAUUCAGUCCUGCGGCACCUGAGAGAGUAAAUGACAUUAAUGCAUGAUUAAUGCUGUUAAGAGAGCAAUCACCAAUUUGUCUCAACAGAAAGAGGAGGAUUCUGAUGAAAGAGGAAAACAAGUUUAAUCUUAUGAUGAUAGCUGUGUUGAAAACACUUUCAGCACGGUUCUGUGGAAAUGAUGAAAAAACAGAGACUCACUGAGCUUUUUGAAAUGACCCUUUAAUCCAUGGGAAAUUUUAAAGCUUUGUAGCUGAUUUACUCAUCGUUUGACGUCCGCUAUCAUCACAAAACACACACACAGAGGUCAGGUUAAGACCUUUAUUUAACUUCUACACCUCAGUGUCAUGCAUCGUCCACUUAAUUUGUACCCUUUGCUUUCUUCAGCAGCCAUUUGUGAUGCUUUCCCUGCUGAUGUUUGUUUGUGAGUUGCUGAGGCAGCAUGGUGUGCCAACGUCACGGUCAGCAGUUUGUAGAUCUUUUAGUUUUCCAUUGUGAGAGCACAAAGAGAGUAAACAGAUUUAAAAUAGAGUUUAAAGAAAUGACUCUUACGGUCUCCGGUUGCAGUGCUGUGGAUUUAUUGAGUGGCUAUGAAUAAAUAAGAAGCUUAGAGCUGCAGAUACUUUAUAAUGUUGGACUUCCUAACUUGACUUUAUUGCUGUUUUUGUCCAACACAUCCAGAGCUUUCUUACUGUACAUGAAUGCACUCUGCAGCCUUGAGUUUCUGCGAUGGAAUCUAAUUCAACUAUUCAGAUCCAGAGUGUUUAUGGAUGCAGGAAACCUCCUGCCUUAUGAGUGAACCUGAAACGUGAUUACAGAGUGAGUGGGCCCCUGCUGUUUACAUCUAUUCAUGAUUCAAAUUGAACGGUUUGUAUGAAAGCUUCCACCCUGCGGAAAUCACGCAGAAGCAGCACACUAUUCUUAAAGCAAUGAGGUUCAUUUGCAGACAAGGGGGCCGGAUUGAUUGUAAGAUGGCUCAUUUACACUCAAACAGCGCUGUGGCAUGAGAUGUUUUGCGUGGUCCUUUUAACUCUUUUGCACUCUGAAUUUGAGGUGAGGUGUUUUUGUGCCUCUCUCAGCCUCAAUGCAGCAGCAUCAGGGUGAGUGUGUAAGUAGGCAACACAAAGCAGCUAUAGGACCAGUGAGUGGUUUUUGGCAGAAUGAGGGUGUUUUACUUCAGGGCCUUAAAAUCAGCUCUUUCUCUUUGGUUGUUGUUGUUGUUAUUACAGCUGAUAGGGUUUGGAUUGGCCUCUCUUUUGUAGCUGGUUUUAACGGAGUUGAUGGCGUUCCGGAAAACAAGUCUGGAAACCAAGAUAGGCACCUGCUGUUAUAAUGUUUAGCCGUUGUUAGCUGCUUUUAGCUGUUGUUAGCAAUAUCAGUUGCAUAACACAGUAUUUUACUCUUAAGGUCCUUACACACGGGGGCCAAUGCGAAUAUAAAAAACGAAAUUACGAAAUAUUCAGAGGCAAAUUUUGACGCGCCUGACUAUACACAUUAAGCACAAUGCGAUUUUGCAACUUUCCGGGGGGAAAAAGACGCGUCCUGGGUGGAAGCGAGAAGACUGACACAACAGCAGACUGACUGUUUUUCAGUUCUGAUUAGACACUAGUGUUGAGAUGUCUGUCUGUCAUGAUAGCAUGUACUGAGUCAGGGCCAGUACCAGAUAAGCACAUUAAACUAUAAUCCAUAAACGUAAGGUAACAACUGAGACCUAAUGGUGCUGUGACAGCAAUGUGAUUGAGUUUGAGACAGUGAAAAUACAUAUGGUAUGUUGUAUCUGAACAGGUUAGCUUACGAGCUAAAGUUACUUAGCACAGAUGAAAGUUAAAACAGAGACGUUUAGCAAACUGAUAAAGCACACAAAACGUUGUCAUGUGAGAAAUCAAAUGCUAUGACCCUCCACAAGUUGUCCUUCAGGUUGUUAUCUUUGCAAAAUUUUGUGUCUUUUAUCAAAAAGCACUCUGUUCUGCCAUGUUGGAUAUACUGGUGAAGCUGACGUCGCAACAGCACGAAAAUCUGAUUGGUCAGAAGCUGAUGUGAACGCUUGUAUUGACAGGAUACGGGUUAUAAAAAAAUAUUGACGUCUGAAAUAAUCGCACGACAAAAAUGGUCCCAGUGUGAAAGGACCUUUUAGAAACACUAUAGAACCUUGUUCAAAGUUAGACAUUGGGCAGUGCAACAUAUACCAUUUAUUUAAUUUCACUAAAACAAAACGGAAGUGCUAAUAAAUAAUACAUUACGAGAGCUUUCACUGUUACUCUUUACUGUUGAGGCACUGUGCUGCCAUCUUGGAUUAUGAAGUUGUCAUCAAGUUGGGGUUGGUGAGGAUCAUCUGACUUUACAAGUCAGAAAUUCAACUUCAGGGGGGCGUUCCAGGUGAAUUUCUGAAUGGGAACUCGGAAAAUCCAAGCACAAAUGGAACACAGCAUAAAUCCUUUGACAUGCUUCAUAUUUUCACCCCUCCUUCUUUUCUUUGCAUCUUUUCCAGAUGGAAAACCCUUGAAAUGUGACCUUGAACAACUACUUGUAUAUUUUGAUAAACAAAAAACCCUCAUUUAAUGUAUGUUAUGACUCUUUUUAAAAAGCUAAAGUGGAGCUUUUAUUUUAGAUAUGUACUUUCCAUUGCCAAUAAUCAAACUUGUGGAGGC